UCCAGCCAUGCCUAAGGGCAGGCUGUCAAUUUUCCUUGCUUAAGCACGCUCAAGCCAAUUUCAGUUGGCACUCUCAAUAUCCAAGAUUUUCAAACUUCUCUCCGGCAGCAAGAAAUUAAGUGCAGCAAUUCCAGAUACCAGAACCACUAAAGCAAACUCAGACACGGUUUUAUUCCAUCUACACCACACAGCAACAAAUCCAGUGGAAGGCUUUAUGAACCAAGGGGAUUAGCGCUGCUUUCCAAAGACGAGUUUAUGUGAUUAUAAUCUUCAGGCUUUGCCUAUCCAGGUUGGCUGGCUGGUGCUGACGGGACGGAGCUGAGGCUAGAGUUAAAAUUUCUAUGUUAGACUUCCGCUGUAGCAAUUACUCAUAUCAGUCUUUUGUUUUUCCAACUUAAGAUCUUCAUGUUAAAUUUCAAAUGAUAUACAUGACCGAGCUUAGACUCUUCACUACUAAAUUUAUGCUAAUGAAUGUCGGUUGUCAGAAACAUGAAACAAAA